CAAGUUAUACAGAAUAUAAUAAACGUAAAAUAUAAAUAUAAUAAAUAUUAAAAAGUUAUACAGAAUAUAAUGAAGGUAUCAUUAAAUGGUAUAUGAAUUCAGCUAAUUCCAGAGCUCGGCCUUUUCAUUUUCCCUCCUCCAUAAGGACAGCAGAUCUCCCAGGACUUUUUAUUUCUUUAUUUAGAUUCACGUACUUAAAUCCAUUACUACCGUAACCGCAUUUCUCUCCAGAAGCAGAACGUGAGUCACACGAGGGCUGAUCCAAAAGGGCCAUACGUGCACUGUGAUCUAGUGAAGUUUCCUUGGAAUACAGGAAGCUGCCCUUAGGAAACGUCUCAAGAUAAAGUGGUUGCUUUCCCUGGAAAGCAUCUCUGACGCAGAUGGAACGAGUGCUUCUGAAGUAAGGAAUGAAGAGGGUGUUUGUGGAAAAAACAUUAGGUAAUGCCACGUCAGGCAUCUAGCCCUGCUGGGAGAUUUCUGGACACCCUCAGCAGCUACAGGCAAAGCGCAGCCCUGCAGUAACGCACUUCUGCAAUAAGUCAGCACCGCCACUAGAAGAGGAAGUCCCACCCCUCCCUCUGCUCUUUUCUACAGAUUCCUGCUUCGACUUAAAGCUACAUUAAAAAAAAAACACCAUACCACAACAUAAAGAAUAGUUUCCUGUCUGAUCCAACCGGGCCUUCAACCAUCAGCAGCCAGAGCCAAGAUAUCUUGCAGCUGUGGAUGAAGGCAAGUUGAAGAUAAGCAUGUUUUUAAAGCGGUAACUUUGAUAAAGAAAGCCAAAGCUCAACAUUUGUGUUAGAACCUCACCAGCGCAAUAAACUGAAUUGUACCGGGAUUAAUCCUCUGAAUGAAUGUGGAAAAGUCAUAGGAAUUUGCCCAUACAUCUAAAACUGCUGAGCAGAGUUUUCUUUCCACGUUCUCGCCCGUCGCCUCUGCCCUAAUCUGAAGCUUGAAGAUGUCGGGUUCAACACAACAUUUUUAUUUGAUGAUGUGUUGUCCUCCAUGGAGGUCAUUAGCAGACUAUGCAUGAAGCAAAGAACCCUUGUUUUCCAGAUGAGGAACGGACAACUCACAAUCUUUAGGAUAGCAACGCUCCCCAUUUCUGCGAUACUAUUAACAAGAACACCAGCAUGCUUAAUACCAUGGGCAAAGUCUGCCUUGGAGAUAUGCAGGUUCUCUUGAAUGCAUUAAAGAGUACGGAUGUGGUUCUUUUUGCACAGCCAGCCCCCUCUACUUGCAUUUCAGCAGCAGGCAAUAUCUGUGGUGGGAAACCCAGCAGCCUUUCCCAUUCUGUGCCACCAGGAUUACACAAAGGAAGGGAAGUGAGGAAUACGUCAUCCCACUGAAACUACAGAGAAAAUGCAGGAAGAAAGAAAAACAUCUGAGCUGGAACGGGGCCACGUCUCAGAGGUUAACACCCUACUUCAGUGAAAAGUGCCGUAGUCACAAUGAUUAACAAAAAUGGUCAAGGCCUUGUGUUUCAUUCAAAGGAAGGUAUUCAGAGCAACCCAGUUCUUUCCAGGCACACUAAAGUUCUGGGUAAAAACGUGCCACAAAUAGGAUACCUUUUUUGGUUAGAAAGUCUUCACAAAAACGUGGCGUGUGUUAGAAUCCAGUGAGGAAAUCAAUGAAUAAUUCUCAGCCUAUGGCUUAUUUGUGAAUCAUUUGUUUACAACUUUACUAUGCAUUACUCAUGUCGUGCGAUUGAUUGCUUGGGGCUUUGUUUUCACUGCAGAAGGGGUCUGUUCUCCACUUGGAGGUACCUGGAUCAGCUUUCCUCCCCCAGCUUCAUUUAACCUUGAGUUCUGAGUUAGAAACUGCCGUGCCUUGCCUCCAUUACGAUUUAUACCGGGAUAGCCAGCUGGAGAAAGGUAGCUAUUUUAAUGGAAAAAACCACUGGGCUUGUGCUUGUUUUUUGUUUGCUUUGCAGUGAACAUGUCAUUUUUGUCCAAGACAUUGUUUCAGCUCCCUAAUUGAAUGACGGAAAUUUUUAAAGCAGAACAAUGAAAUGCCAUUCUUCUGAAAAAAAUCUGGUUAUCAUCCAACUAUUUGCAAAAAAUUCUGAUUGCAGAAGCCAGAGUAAGACAAACUCAUUAAAGUAUUUGUGAGUACAUUCAACAUUUUGUAUUUUUCAAUAGAUUCUGCCUACUACCACACUUGGGCAUUGCUCUGUGCAGAGAAGGGAAGCAACUUCCCAGACAGCAUCACCAGUUUCUCACCUAUUUCAUCCUACUCAGUAAAUAAAGCCAUGUGCUGUAGCAGUUCAGCUUUCCUCUAUCUUAUGCUACAUGAAGCUUUAACUCAUUCUGAUAAGAAACAAGAUAUCUAGGGGAUAGCAGGAGGCCCAGCUAAAAAUAUAUGUGAAUUAAAAGCUCACUUUCAAAGUGUUUUUCUAGUUAUUUAAGGUCUGCUUGUCAAGUGAGGUAGCAUUCAGCAGUGAGCUGGAUCUCAGAAUCUCAGCCUUAGUCAUUUCUGCUUAAUGCAAUAACCACUUGAAUGAAAUAGUUUAUUUCCUGGCAAAGGGCUUAACAGAGAAAUUAGGCUGUGCUCUGGCAUGGCACUUAAAUUGGCUUCCAGAAAGCUCAUGAUUAUCUUCUGAAGCCAGCUGAGCCAAGAGUCUGUUCUUUAUCAGUGCUUUUUGGUCUGUUCUCUCCUUUUCAUACCAGUUCUGCAGAGCAUUUCAAGCUGAUGAUUGGGUCUGCUUGGGAAACUGCCCUAAUUUGGUUCAGGACAUCACUUCUGUUCUUUUUGUAGCUUCAUUUCAUUGCCGCAGACGUCUUGUGCAGACGUAGGAACCUUGAUCAUCACCUUCUGAGAAAAAGGACUCAAGUUCUUAACGGACUUCUAAUAAUCACAGUUAUUAUCAAGUGUCUUUCCCAUUCUACUGGUCCACUUGGUUAUUCUUCCAAAAGAACAAAACUUCACCAUUUUGUUCUAGUAUAUCUCACACUGAACUCCGUGGGAAGAUCCAUAUUGACUUCAGUGUCUCUGGGUUAUGGUUGACGUCUAGGAAGGCAAAAUAUGCGAAACCCUUAGAGCACUGACGAAAAAGUCCGGAGGAAUGUGAACUAUUUAAAAGGGACAGAGUGUUACAGAGAUUCCUUCUUGAAAUGGAUGAAGUCUACUCGAGAAAAAGACCCUUUCCAUGGUUUGUUCCAUCAUUCUGGAGAACCCCAUGAUGGGAAUACAAAUCUGGUUAGAGAGUGAUCAAAAGCAGUCGAUCAAAAGUGAUCAGAAGUUCAUGAAAUGACUUUUUCUCUAUUGCCUAACAAGAGGACAGUGAGUUGAAGGAAGCAAAUAGCAGCAGCAGCAGCAUGGUGCCAUAAGAAAGGUGCUUCAGCCCCGAUCGGAGCUGCUGACAGCUCCCAAGAAGUUUUUGUGCCGUUGGUCAGCACCGACUUCCAAAACCGGAGUCUCCGGAGGAGUUACUGGCACCGUGCAGGGAACUUGCUCUCCUCUCCCUUGCUUUCCAGCCACUAAAUUGCUUUAAAUGAGGACCUAAAUAUACACCAAAUGCUUCCUGAUAAAUAUUUUUCCACGCACGCCAUUUCUGUACUUGUCACAGGAGUGCUGUGAGAGUGAAAUGUUCUACCAGCCACUCUCUCUGUCAAGAUGCCCAGCACAUAAUGACUUUGUUGGAGAGCCCGGGGCUUGAAUGUCAGUAGAUGCAAAGCAGAGAAAACCCAGAGAACUUCACAGCUCCAACAGGGAUGUGGAAAAGCUUCCUGGUUUAAAAAACUAGCAAUAAUAAAACUUGUGAAAACUGGGAACUCCACAUUUACAGCUGGCGUUAUGUGAUCCUUCCUCCCCUUUGAGGUACAGUAGAUACCUUGUUCCACCUUCAGAAAACAUCCGGCUCGGUGGAAGGAGGAUGUUUGCUCUGUUCUUCUGAAGGAGUCUGAAGCAGAGCCCAGGCUGGGGCCCCCUGAUGAAAGGCUCCGUGAUGCCACACUCCCUUGAGGAGAUUUUGAAGGAAUCCAGUUUGCUGCAAGGUACAAAUGAAACCGUUUAGUUGAACAGGUUUUCCCCUUCGUGUGUAAUGCAAUCUUCCUUCUAAGUCAGUGGAUUCCUGAUGUCCAGUUUUGCUAAGGCACACACUGACUUGCUGUGCAUAUCCAGUUAUAAUGUUUAAAAAAAUAAUAAUAUCAAGUGCUCUGCCUACUAGCGUUGCUGGGUUAUUUGCAAUUACAAAUGGUCAAGUUUGCUGGCAAAAGUUUUGGUCCUUAAGCAAUGUGUUUCUCAGCCGACAAUCUAGGUCACCUGGAUAUUGUUGAGGCUUAUGUCACUCUUUGUUUCCUUGUGAUGAACACAGAAGACAUAAAAGGAGGG